UUUUAGGACUUAGCCAAUUUUUGGCAUCUCUCGCUUAGGACCACGUUCGGGAACCGGUCCCUCCCUGCCAGGGACCGGUUGCAUCACGCAACCCCGCUACACCCAGCCAGGGGAACCGGUCUCUCACCUGUAGAGACCGGUCCCCGAGAGCAACAUCAGCCCAAUGAUGUAAUUGCCUCAUUUGCUCUCGCUGACUCAACUCCAAGGCACUUUUUGUGCUUUGGGUAUUCCCAACUCCCACAAAG
rnacentral:lncRNA from 1 species